rnacentral:rRNA from 1 species
AUUGAACGCUGGCGGCAGGCCUAACACAUGCAAGUCGAACGGUAGCAGGAAGAAGCUUGCUUCUUUGCUGACGAGUGGCGGACGGGUGAGUAAUGUCUGGGAAACUGCCUGAUGGAGGGGGAUAACUACUGGAAACAGUAGCUAAUACCGCAUAACGUCGCAAGACCAAAGAGGGGGACCUUCGGGCCUCUUGCCAUCAGAUGUGCCCAGAUGGGAUUAGCUAGUAGGUGGGGUAACGGCUCACCUAGGCGACGAUCCCUAGCUGGUCUGAGAGGAUGACAAGCCACACUGGAACUGAGACACGGUCCAGACUCCUACGGGAGGCAGCAGUGGGGAAUAUUGCACAAUGGGCGCAAGCCUGAUGCAGCCAUGCCGCGUGUAUGAAGAAGGCCUUCGGGUUGUAAAGUACUUUCAGCGGGGAGGAAGGCGGUGAAGUUAAUAGCUUCACCGAUUGACGUUACCCGCAGAAGAAGCACCGGCUAACUCCGUGCCAGCCGCCGCCGUAA